rnacentral:rRNA from 1 species
ACCAGGUCUUGACAUCCUCUGACAACCCUAGAGAUAGGGCUUCUCCUUCGGGAGCAGAGUGACAGGUGGUGCAUGGUUGUCGUCAGCUCGUGUCGUGAGAUGUUGGGUUAAGUCCCGCAACGAGCGCAACCCUUGAUCUUAGUUGCCAUCAUUAAGUUGGGCACUCUAAGGUGACUGCCGGUGACAAACCGGAGGAAGGUGGGGAUGACGUCAAAUCAUCAUGCCCCUUAUGACCUGGGCUACACACGUGCUACAAUGGACGGUACAAAGAGCUGCAAGACCGCGAGGUGGAGCUAAUCUCAUAAAACCGUUCUCAGUUCGGAUUGUAGGCUGCAACUCGCCUACAUGAAGCUGGAAUCGCUAGUAAUCGCGGAUCAGCAUGCCGCGGUGAAUACGUUCCCGGGCCUUGUACACACCGCCCGUA